rnacentral:rRNA from 1 species
CCUACGGGAGGCAGCAGCGGGGAAUAUUGCACAAUGGGCGAAAGCCUGAUGCAGCUAUGCCGCGUGUAUGAAGAAGGCCUUAGGGUUGUAAAGUACUUUCAGCAGGGAGGAAAGAAAUAAAACUAAUAAUUUUAUUUUGUGACGUUACCUGAAGAAGAAGCACCGGCUAACUCCGUGCCAGCAGCCGCGGUAAU